ACAGUGCAACAGAAACAUACCGCCGAUGGCCGCCCCGACUUUGCCGCCGCAAGGCGGCAAAGUCUCGCUCUUGAGUGAGCAGGGACGGAUCAGGCAAGGGUGAAAUCGUGGCCUGUCGCAAGACAGGACAAAUCGCGCAGGCGAUUUGCGGUAAGAGCGCACGGUCGUACUGGUAACAGUUACGACGGGCAAACCUCAUCCGGGGCAAGGCCAAAUAGGGGAGCAUUGACGUUGCUCGCGUCGCUCCCGGGUAGGCUGCUAGAGAUUACCGGCGACGGUAGUCGACGAGGCCGUCAGCAAUGGCGGUCCCAGAGGAAUGGCUGCCCACGACAGAACCCGGCUUAUCGGCGGACUUCCACC
rnacentral:RNase_P_RNA from 1 species